rnacentral:rRNA from 1 species
GCUGCGGCGGCUUAUAAUGCAAGUCGUGGGGCAGCAUGACUGUAGCAAUACAGUUGAUGGCGACCGGCAAACGGGUGCGGAACACGUACGCAAUCUACCCAAAACUGGUGAAUAGCCCUCCGAAAGGAGGAUUAAUACACCGUAACCUAUUGAAGUGGCAUCACUUUAUUAGUAUAGCUCCGGCGGUUUUGGAUGAGCGUGCGGCUGAUUAGAUAGUUGGCGGGGUAACGGCCCACCAAGUCUGCGAUCAGUAACUGGUGUGAGAGCACGACCAGUCACACGGGCACUGAGACACGGGCCCGACUCCUACGGGAGGCAGCAGUAAGGAAUAUUGGUCAAUGGACGCAAGUCUGAACCAGCCAUGCCGCGUGAAGGAUGAAGGUCCUCUGGAUUGUAAACUUCUUUUAUAGGGGACGAAACCUCUUUUUCUAAAGAGACUGACGGUACCCUAGGAAUAAGCACCGGCUAACUCCGUGCCAGCAGCCGCGGUAAUACGGAGGGUGCAAGCGUUAUCCGGAUUCACUGGGUUUAAAGGGUGCGUAGGAGGGCAGGUGAGUCAGUGGUGAAAUCUCCAAGCUUAACUUGGAAACUGCCGUUGAUACUAUCUGUCUCGAAUACCGUGGAGGUGAGCGGAAUAUGUCAUGUAGCGGUGAAAUGCUUAGAUAUGACAUAGAACACCAAUUGCGAAGGCAGCUCACUACACGAAUAUUGACUCUGAGGCACGAAAGCGUGGGGAUUAAACAGGAUUAGAUACCCUGGUAGUCCACGCCCUAAACUAUGGAUACUCGACAUACGCGAUAAACUGUGUGUGUCUGAGC